UACAGAGGGGGCAAGCGUUGUUCGGAAUUACUGGGCGUAAAGGGCGCGUAGGCGGCCUGCUAAGUCGAACGUGAAAUCCCCGGGCUCAACCCGGGAACUGCGUCCGAUACUGGCAGGCUUGAAUCCGGGAGAGGGAUGUGGAAUUCCAGGUGUAGCGGUGAAAUGCGUAGAUAUCGGAAGGAACGCCGGUGGCGAAAGCGACGUGCUGGACCUCUUCUGACGCUGAGGCGCGAAAGCUAGGGGAGCAAACGGG
rnacentral:rRNA from 1 species